ensembl:lncRNA novel transcript
CUGAGCUAAGUCUUGAAAGAUGACAAGGCUUUUGACAAUACACAAAUAUAGGGCUGCCAAGUUUGAUGAGUGUAACAAACAAAUAGAGCCCUGAGAUACAGAGUAACACUCGGGGCCCACUUCCAGAGGGUAGCAGGGAAAGACAGUCAGCAAUCUUCAGCGGAGGCCUGAAGUCUGAGAAGGCCAGUCCCAUGAAGAGUAUUCCAGGCAAAAAAAAAAGACAUAUGUGAGGCCUGAAGGUGGUUCCCUGCUAAGCCAAGUGGCCAAAGUUUGAGUUCUUUCAUCAUCAUAGUCAUGGACCAACAUCUCAGCAGUGGGGUCAAAAUCAUGAUCCUCAGAAGACAAAGACCCAACUGGAAUAAAACAAACUGAAUCACUUUACACAUUUACAAGGCUAUUAACAAAAGAAAAUAAAAAUUUGUGUUCUUCUGCCA